rnacentral:lncRNA from 1 species
AGUGUGUUUUGUGUUAAAGUGAAGACGCAGCGGGAAUAUCAAGCGGGUAAUCCUACAGGUCCGAAGAAUCGAGAAGGUGAUCAGGCUGCUUAGAGUAGUGGUAUUUGAGUUACAGCAUUAUUGUGAGGUUGUUAUACUCUUUUGAGCUUACAUUUAAAUUUGGAGAGAGUGUGCUGUAAUAUUAAACUCUUGAGGAUUUGGUUUAUGUAUUAUUGAGUGAUGUGAGGUGUGUUUAUUUCUGAGAAAAAAAUUCAGAACGUUUAUUUGUAAUUGUUAUUAUUCAUGUUUCGGAUUUUGAAUUGUUUGUUGUCUGGUUAA